ACAACUUCCCUAAUUGCUGCAAAUGCUAACUAUCGGACAGGCUUAGAUCAAGUGUAGUAUCUGUUCUUUUCAGUUUAAUCUCUGAAACGGCUCUCCGGAGCCUAUUCUUCUGAUUAAUCAUAUUUUUGUUUACUUCGGGGAUCCUGCCACUGGCCUGCCAUGCUUGAUCCCCAAUGUGUCACCGGCAUUGCACUGUCUCCGGUUGAUGCGAGUGGUU
rnacentral:snRNA from 1 species